GUUGGGUGUAGUGAUGUGCACCUGUAAUUCCAGCUACUUGGGAGGCUGAGGCAGGAGAAUCGCUUGAACCCAGGAGGCCGAGGUUGCAGUGAGCCGAGAUCAUGCCACUGCACUCCUGCCUGGGUGACAGAGUGAGACUUUGUCUCAA
ensembl:misc_RNA Metazoa_SRP Metazoan signal recognition particle RNA